UACGUAGGGUGCGAGCGUUAAUCGGAAUUACUGGGCGUAAAGCGUGCGCAGGCGGUUCGUUAUGUCCGCUGUGAAAGCCCCGGGCUCAACCUGGGAAUGGCAAUGGAAACUGGCGGGCUAGAGUGUGGCAGAGGGGGGUGGAAUUCCGCGUGUAGCAGUGAAAUGCGUAGAUAUGCGGAGGAACACCGAUGGCGAAGGCAAUCCCCUGGGCCUGCACUGACGCUCAUGCACGAAAGCGUGGGGAGCAAACAGG
rnacentral:rRNA from 1 species